rnacentral:rRNA from 1 species
UACGUAGGGUGCGAGCGUUGUCCGGAAUUAUUGGGCGGAAAGGGCUCGUAGGCGGUUUGUCGCGUCGGGCGUGAAAACUCAGGGCUUAACCCUGAGCCUGCUCCCGAUACGGGCAGACUAGAGGUAUGCAGGGGAGAACGGAAUUCCUGGUGUAGCGGUGAAAUGCGCAGAUAUCAGGAGGAACACCGGUGGCGAAGGCGGUUCUCUGGGCAUUACCUGACGCUGAGGAGCGAAAGUGUGGGGAGCGAACAGG